GCCUGAGAGCCACCGCCUCCAGAAGGCCUGCGGCCCGGGCCCUGGUGAUGAAUCACCCUCGGCGUCGGCACAGCUCGCCUUCCCCGAACCCGCCUCUGUCGCCUCACAGCGGUCGCAUUUGGUGCUGAUACCUGCCGCCGACAGACCUGGCUGUGUAGUUCAGGCCGGGUUGGGCCCGGAACUCACAGGAUCCCCCUGCGUGCUGGGAUUACAGCCGUGCCCCACAUGCCAGGCUUCAGACCUGGUAUUUCUGUCCCUGAUUACAAACCAGGAAUCCAAGGCCAGCAGGGUGGGACCGCCGACCCCGCUCUGGCCCAGGACCUCUGUCACACACCCCCACCCAUGAUGAGACUCUGAGGCUCAAGGGCAGAGUUGGAGCCUGAACACAGUCAUUUCGCCCCUUGUCGAGUUGUCCCUUCCCUGGGAAAGAAGACAAAGAAUCCCAAGCCCCUGGACCCUGCCAGAUGAUGCCGGUGGAGGGGUGAGGGGUCCCUUUGGGGUCUUCUCCACAGCCUCCCUACUUCAUACCGGUGUGGUGGCGCAGGAACACUCGAGCACCUUGCAGAUUAAGCAUCCAGAAAAUAGCUGUGCAGGUUAAAACCGGCUUUUGAAACACUGGUCCAGCGAGGAGGCGUGGCUUGUUGGUAGAAUUCUUGCAUAGCGUGCGUGAGGCCCUGGAUUCCCACCCUGCACCGCAAAAAAGGGCAACAUAGUCUGGUCCAAAUCAUCCUUUCUGUCCCUGGGUCUUCCUGCCGGGAAGUCCGCUUCCUGAGAAACUGACGCCCCUCCCCUGAGGUGUCACCAGGCCCGGGACCCCGAGGGAGACGUCGGCUGCGGCUGGCCCUCCCGUUUCCAGCAGAAGAGGGCCUGGCCGAUCAGAGACCGGUCUCCGUGUGACGGUGAGUGUGAUCUUUGCCCUUAGUUUCCCUACGUUUGUCACCAAGGGCUCGCCUUUGCCAAUGAGAGCCUUCCUGCCCAUCCAUGGACAGGAACCCCAGAGCACCCUCCCAGAGUGAGAAGGGCCCCUCAGCUGGCCUCUCGUCCCCCACUUGUCGGGCACCGGGUCCCUGGGGCCCCAGUGUGCACGGGCCGGCAUCGCCACAGCCUAGAAUCAGGAAAGAGCGCCGUGGCUGGCCUCCCAGGAGGGCUGGGCAGUGCCGGGGAAGGAGGGGCCUCCUGGUGUAGAGGCGAAGUCCUCCCCUCCCAGGUGCCAGGAGUUAAGUCAAGUAAAUGCCAGGGAUUAGGGGCUGGGGAGACGCUGGGCACAGGUAAGCCCGUCUUGCCAGGUGUGGGCAAACGCGUCAUCUACCUGGAUGCUCUCGGCCCGCCUCCGCCUCACCCCACUUGUCUUCCAAAAUGGGAAGAGGGAAGGGUGAGGUCAGCAAGGGAAGACAGGCUGCCCAGGGGCCGGGUGGGCAGCGGGGCGCGGUGCCAACCCCGUACCCCGUGCCGCACUCGACUCUCUGGGACCCCCUCCGCCGGCCCGGAAGUCGCAGCUGGGUCUUCCUGCGUCCCCCAGGGGGCCCUCAUUCCUGCAUGGAGUGCGGAGACCACAGCUUCCCUCCUCACAGCUGCCCUGCAGUCUGGCACCCACUUUACAGACGGGCCCUUGUGGGCCUGAGCUCACGCAGCCCUCAGCAGGCCAGGUGUCACUAGUACAGCUGUCUUUCCGCAAAGCAGGGCCUCCCUCCCUCCCUCUCCUCCUCCCUUUGCUUUUCAGACAGCGCGUUGUUAUACAUUCACCAGCUCACACAGGCUGGGGCUGCGUUUGCGGGGCUGCAGAUCGCUCCCUCGCCUGCCCCGGGACUGUGGGAUCUUAGCCGCAUCCCGGUGACAGAGCUCAGCCUGCCUGAGUUCCUCGCCCCCAUGGUGAUGCCAAGACUCAGCGUCUUUCUACUCAACUACGACCGCUUCCUGUCCAGGGCAAGAAACUGCCCGAUUGUCCCUCUGGGGCAGGGAUUAAAGGUCCACAGGCCAGCACACCCUGCCCUCGGACACCAUCCUCAAUCCCAUAAAUAUUUACCAGGCACCUCAAGUAACAUCCCUGGCCGUUUCCUCAUCGGCGGGCUGGGGCUGUCGCAUCUGCCUGACCGAGUUCACCUAUUCAUUCUUCAUCCCCCAUUGAUUCCCAGGUGGGCGGCGGGAUGGAGACUCACUGUGAGUCCUGGCUCUGCCCUGGGCUUCCCAUGUGUGCUGUGACCUCCCUGGAAGGUGCCUGCUGGCCUCGGCCAUCUGGGGGCAUCACAGGGCCCCAGCAGAGACCUCUGGCCGGCAGGGUGACUGGCCUGGCUGGGUCCGGAGGACGGGAACAGUUCACACUCUGGGAACAGAACAUAUCCCACUGGGGCCUCCUUCUGUCCACCUGGAGGCUGCACUGUGGCCACCGCAGGGGCAGGGCUCAGAGAACAGGCAGUUGUGGGAUCCUGGCAGGGGCCACUUCCUGCUGGGACUUUAUCUCCUCACCCCGGGGCAAGCGCUUCAGGUGUGAACUUGUAAAAUACGCAUUCUGCAGGGGAGGGAGCUGAAGCUGAGAGGGGCAGUGACUCCAUGGCGUUUAUUCAUUUGUUUAAACAAGUUUGGUUGACCGGGCAGAAUUUCAGUGCGGGAAGAUGAAAGCUUUCUGCAGAUGGUUAGUGGCGAUGGCUGCCGCAGUGUGAAUGUGCCAAGAGCCACUGAGCUACACAGCACUCGGGAGGCUGAAGCGGGAAGAUGGCAAGUUCAA